rnacentral:rRNA from 1 species
AUGAACGCUGGCGGCGUGCCUAAUACAUGCAAGUCGAGCGAACAGACGAGGAGCUUGCUCCUCUGACGUUAGCGGCGGACGGGUGAGUAACACGUGGAUAACCUAUCUAUAAGACUGGGAUAACUUCGGGAAACCGGAGCUAAUACCGGAUAAUAUAUUGAACCGCAUGGUUCAAUAGUGAAAGACGGUUUUGCUGUCACUUAUAGAUGGAUCCGCGCCGCAUUAGCUAGUUGGUAAGGUAACGGCUUACCAAGGCGACGAUGCGUAGCCGACCUGAGAGGGUGAUCGGCCACACUGGAACUGAGACACGGUCCAGACUCCUACGGGAGGCAGCAGUAGGGAAUCUUCCGCAAUGGGCGAAAGCCUGACGGAGCAACGCCGCGUGAGUGAUGAAGGUCUUCGGAUCGUAAAACUCUGUUAUUAGGGAAGAACAAAUGUGUAAGUAACUAUGCACGUCUUGACGGUACCUAAUCAGAAAGCCACGGCUAACUACGUG